CAUAAAUAUAUAAAUUAAAAUAUAUAUCUAAAAUAUAUAUAUAUUUUAUAAUAAAGUAAUUAAUAUAAAUAAUUAUAUAUCAACACAUUAACCUUAAGGUUAAUGUGUUAACGACAUUAUAAGUAUAUAAACCUUAUCUAUCUUAUUUUUUAUUAAUUUAUAAAAAUAACUAUACUAUUUAUAUAAGGUAAUUAUAUACUUAUUUUUUUUUGUUAUUAACAGAUAACAAAAAUAUAUAUGGAAAAUAAAAGCUUAAUAUAUAUAUAUUAUAAUAUAAAUUUAUUAAUAAUAAUAAUAAAUAUGAGUGAAAUAUAUAAUAAUAAUAAUUAUUAUUAUAACAAAAAUAUGCUU
rnacentral:rRNA from 1 species